AACGAACGCUGGCGGCAGGCCUAACACAUGCAAGUCGAGCGAGGACUUCGGUCCUAGCGGCGGACGUGGGGGGAACGCGGGGGGACGUGCCCUUUGGUUCGGAAUAGCCCUCGGAAAGUGGGCGUAAUACCAGAUGAGCUCAUAGGGGGAAAGAUCUAUCGGGGCAGGAUCGGCCCUUGUUGGAUUCGGUGGUUGGUGGGGGAAUGGCCUACCAUUCCCACGUUCCUUGGCUGGUUGGGGAGGAUGGUCAGGCGCGCUUGGGAUGCGACACGGACCAGACUCCUACGGGACGGAGCAGUGGGGUAUCUUAGGCGAUGGGGGCAACUCUGAUCUCGCCACGCGGCGUGUGCGAUGCAUGCCUUAGUGUUGUAAAGCUCUUUGUGCUGAGAAGAUAGUGACGGUACCGGGAGAAGAAGCCCCGGCUAACUACGUG
rnacentral:rRNA from 1 species